AGUGAACGCUGGCGGUAGGCCUAACACAUGCAAGUCGAACGGCAGCACAGUAAGAGCUUGCUCUUACGGGUGGCGAGUGGCGGACGGGUGAGGAAUACAUCGGAAUCUACUUUUUCGUGGGGGAUAACGUAGGGAAACUUACGCUAAUACCGCAUACGACCUACGGGUGAAAGCAGGGGAUCUUCGGACCUUGCGCGAUCGAAUGAGCCGAUGUCGGAUUAGCUAGUUGGCGGGGUAAAGGCCCACCAAGGCGACGAUCCGUAGCUGGUCUGAGAGGAUGAUCAGCCAGACUGGAACUGAGACACGGUCCAGACUCCGACGGGAGGCAGCAGUGGGGAAUAUUGGACAAUGGGCGCAAGCCUGAUACAGCCAUACCGCGUGGGUGAAGAAGGCCUUCGGGUUGUAAAGCCCUUUUGUUGGGAAAGAAGAGCAGCAGGUUAAUACCCCGCUGUUCUGACGGUACCCAAAGAAUAAGCACCGGCUAACUUCGUG
rnacentral:rRNA from 1 species